GUCAAGUGACUAAGCGCAUACGGUGGAUGCCUUGGCAGUCAGAGGCGAUGAAGGACGUUGUAGCCUGCGAUAAGCUUCGGGGAGUCGGCAAACAGACUUUGAUCCGGAGAUUUCCGAAUGGGGAAACCCACCCGCAAGGGUAUCCUGCACUGAAUACAUAGGUGUAGGAGGCGAACCUGGGGAACUGAAACAUCUAAGUACCCAGAGGAAAGGACAUCAAUUGAGACUUCCCUAGUAGCGGCGAGCGAACG
rnacentral:rRNA from 1 species